CAGAAUUUUCUUCUCGGGCAAAGGUUUCAGUGUGCUUCCCUGUGGCUCCUCCUUCGCUGCGGUUGUACUGCAUGAAGAGAUGAGUACCAAUGAUGGACCAGCUGAAACAUCCAGACAGUCUCACUGUUGACUACAUUUUUUACUUCUGGAUGGCAUUUUGCAAAGUCUUGCCUGCCAAAUUUACCCUAGACUGUGGGAGUCGGAAAGAUAGAGAUCUUCACA